rnacentral:rRNA from 1 species
UACGAAGGGGGCUAGCGUUGUUCGGAUUUACUGGGCGUAAAGCGCACGUAGGCGGAUCGUUAAGUCAGGGGUGAAAUCCUGGGGCUCAACUCCAGAACUGCCUUUGAUACUGGCGAUCUCGAGUCCGGGAGAGGUGAGUGGAACUGCGAGUGUAGAGGUGAAAUUCGUAGAUAUUCGCAAGAACACCAGUGGCGAAGGCGGCUCACUGGCCCGGUACUGACGCUGAGGUGCGAAAGCGUGGGGAGCAAACAGG